AUUGAACGCUGGCGGCAGGCCUAACACAUGCAAGUUGAGCGGAGCGGCGGACGGGUGAGUAAUGCCUAGGAAUCUGCCUGGUAGUGGGGGAUAACGUCCGGAAACGAGCGCUAAUACCGCAUACUAUCAGAUGAGCCUAGGCCGGAUUAGAUCGUUGGUGGGGCAAAGGCCUACCAAGGCGACGAACCGUAACUGGUCUGAGAGGAUGAGCAGUCAUACUGGAACUGAUACCCGGGCCAGACGCCUACGCGAGGCAGUAGUGGGGAAUAUUGGAAAAUGGGCGAUAGCCUGUUGUAGCCCUGCCGCGAGUGUGAAGAAGGUCUUCGGAGUGUAAAGCACUUUAAGUUGGGAGGCGUAGCCAACAGAAUACGCACCGGAUAACUUCGUGCCAGCAGCCGCGGUAAUUC
rnacentral:rRNA from 1 species